rnacentral:rRNA from 1 species
AUUGAACGCUGGCGGCAGGCUUAACACAUGCAAGUCGAGCGGAGCGAGGGUGCUUGCACCUUAGCUUAGCGGCGGACGGGUGAGUAAUGCUUAGGAAUCUGCCUAUUAGUGGGGGACAACAUUCCGAAAGGGAUGCUAAUACCGCAUACGCCCUACGGGGGAAAGCAGGGGAUCUUCGGACCUUGCGCUAAUAGAUGAGCCUAAGUCGGAUUAGCUAGUUGGUGGGGUAAAGGCCUACCAAGGCGACGAUCUGUAGCGGGUCUGAGAGGAUGAUCCGCCACACUGGGACUGAGACACGGCCCAGACUCCUACGGGAGGCAGCAGUGGGGAAUAUUGGACAAUGGGCGGCAGCCUGAUCCAGCCAUGCCGCGUGUGUGAAGAAGGCCUUUUGGUUGUAAAGCACUUUAAGCGAGGAGGAGGCUACUAGUAUUAAUACUACUGGAUAGUGGACGUUACUCGCAGAAUAAGCACCGGCUAACUCUGUGCCAGCCGCCGCUGUAAGAC